AUUGAACGCUGGCGGAAUGCUUUACACACGCAAGUCGAACGGCAGCACGGAUUUCGGUCUGGUGGCGAGUGGCGAACGGGUGAGUAACAUAUCGGAACGUAUCCAAUAAUGGGGGAUAACGAGUCGAAAGAUUCGCUAAUACCGCAUACGCCCUACGGGGGAAAGCUGGGGACCUUCGGGCCUGGCGUUAAUGGAGCGGCCGAUAUCUGAUUAGCUAGUUGGUGAGGUAAAGGCUCACCAAGGCGACGAUCAGUAGCUGGUCUGAGAGGACGACCAGCCACACUGGAACUGAGACACGGUCCAGACUCCUACGGGAGGCAGCAGUGGGGAAUUUUGGACAAUGGGCGCAAGCCUGAUCCAGCCAUUCCGCGUGAGUGAAGAAGGCCUUCGGGUUGUAAAGCUCUUUCGCAAGGGAAGAAAACUUAGCCACUAACAUUGGUUGAGGUUGACGAUACCUUGAUAAGAAGCACCGGCUAACUACGUGCCAGCAGCCGCCGUAA
rnacentral:rRNA from 1 species